rnacentral:rRNA from 1 species
UACGUAGGGAGCAAGCGUUGUCCGGAGUAACUGGGCGUAAAGCGCACGCAGGCGGUUCAUCGCGUUGGCACUGACAGCCGUGGGCCUAACUCAGGGAGGGGUGUCAAAACGGGUGAACUUGAGCCUCAGAGAGGGAGACGGAAUUCCGCGUGGAGCGGUGAAAUGCGUAGAGAUGCGGAAGAACACCAAAGGCGAAGGCAGUCUCCUGGCUGAGAGCUGACGCUCAGGUGCGAAAGCCAGGGGAGCGAACAGG